UUUUUAUUGAACUUUAAAUAUGUCUUGUGCUUUGUACUGUGAAAGGAAGCGCAAAUUGCAGAAGAUGUCCAAUACAAAACAUUUCUAAAUAUUUAGCUUUCCUAGAAAUGAAACUUUACUGGACAAGGACAAGGUUCUUUCUAUCGAAAAAGAAAAUUGGGUAUGGACAAAAAAUAACGUAAUUUGCUCUGAACACUUUAAAGCGGAUGAUUUUCUCCCCUUUUGUGGAAGAAAAAUAGUACGACCCAACUCUGCACCUUCCAUAAAAUUAUUUUGUGGUGUAUCUUCUUCCAUUUUAAGCAAGAUUACUUUAUCCAGUUCAAUUAAUACAGGAGCUUUGACCAAAUUGAUGUUACAAUCAAGUGAAUCAUCUUUGACCUAUAACGUUACUGAAGUUCGAGUAGGUACAACGUAAAAAGAAGAGACAACUGAAUUUAAGUGUUCAGAAUACAUCGAAUGGUAACACUAGUACUGAUAGUAGUGCUAAGAGAAGGAGUAUUAUGGCAAUGAAAACAUACUUUAAUGGAUAACUUUAAUAAUGAAAAUAUCUUUGCAGUAUAUCUCCUUCUACAGUUGCAACGAAAAAUGUUAAACUGAAAUGUAGAC